GUGGGACGGCGAGCACACAUGGCGACCUCAGGCUGUGACGGACUGUGUGCGCGCCCCUGGGUGCCCCCCUGCGCCGCCUGCCCCUUGGGAGAAAUGUGAGGCCCUAACACAAGCUGGAGGCAGAGGCGGCCCGGCUCUGCAGACACCUGACCCUCGCCCCGCAACGUGAAGCCGGGGAGGGGCUCGGGGCGCCAAGAGCGCCUCAAGAGGCGCGGGAGCGCCAGGGCUGACGGUCAACUUUGCGCCCAAAUACGGGGCUCAUGGGCUGCGGGCCUUGGCGGCGGGGACAGGACGGACGGAGCGAUUAUGAUUGAGGAGGUCUGCGUGGGGCCUGGGACUGCAUAUUUCCUACUAGCUCCCAAGUGCUACUGAUGCUGGUCUGAGAAGCAAGACUCCUGGAGAUCACUGCAGAAACAGAAGUGUCAGCUGAUGGCGAUCUUGUUAACCAGUGCCAAAUUAUCAUCAAUCAGCCGCUACACUUCAUAUUUCAUCAUCUUAUGUAGAUGACCCUCAGGUAUUGUUUCAAGAGCAAGUGUUCUUCAGCUGAAAAUAGAGAAUCAAACAUCCAGCAUUUGCAGAGCAUUUCUGGAAGUGUUCUGUGGUUUUGGUCCUUUGAUAAGAAAGCACUGGGGGACUUCCCUGGUGGCGCAGUGGUUAAGAAUCCCCCUGCCAAUGCAGGGGAUAUGGGUUCGAGCCCUGGUCCGGGAAGAUCCCACAUGCCAUGGAGCAACUAAGCCCGUGUGCCACAACUACUGAGCCUGCGCUCUAGAGCCCGCGAGCCACAACUACUGAAGCCCACGUGCUUAGAGCCCAUGCUCCACAACAAGAGAAGCCACCGCAAUGAGAAGCCCGCGCACCGCAACGAAGAGUAGCCCCCACUCGCCGCAACUAGAGAAAACCCACGCGUGCAACGAAGACCCAAUGCAGCCAAAAAUAAAUAAGUAAAUAAAUAAAUUUA